rnacentral:rRNA from 1 species
UGGGGUGCUCGAGUGGCGAACGGGUGAGUAACACGUGAGUAACCUGCCCUUGACUUUGGGAUAACUUCAGGAAACUGGGGCUAAUACCGGAUAGGAGCUCCUGCUGCAUGGUGGGGGUUGGAAAGUUUCGGCGGUUGGGGAUGGACUCGCGGCUUAUCAGCUUGUUGGUGGGGUAGUGGCUUACCAGGGCUUUGACGGGUAGCCGGCCUGAGAGGGUGACCGGCCACAUUGGGACUGAGAUACGGCCCAG